CCUACGGGUGGCAGCAGUCGAGAAUUUUUCACAAUGGGGGAAACCCUGAUGGAGCGACGCCGCGUGGGGGAUGAAUGGCUUCGGCCCGUAAACCCCUGUCAUCUGGGAACAAUGCUUCCGACCUAACACGUCUGGAGUUGAUAGUACCGGAAGAGGAAGGGACGGCUAACUCUGUGCCAGCAGCCGCGGUAAUACAGAGGUCCCGAGCGUUGUUCGGAUUCACUGGGCGUAAAGGGUGCGUAGGCGGUCGGGUAAGUCUGAUGUGAAAGCUCGGAGCUCAACUCCGAAAUGGCAUCGGAAACUAUCCGGCUUGAGGAAUGGAGGGGAGACUGGAAUGCUCGGUGUAGCAGUGAAAUGCGUAGAUAUCGAGCGGAACACCAGUGGCGAAGGCGAGUCUCUGGACAUUUCCUGACGCUGAGGCACGAAAGCCAGGGGAGCAA
rnacentral:rRNA from 1 species